rnacentral:rRNA from 1 species
AACGAACGCUGGCGGCGCGCUUAACACAUGCAAGUCGAACGAGAAGGCGUAGCAAUACGCUUGUAAAGUGGCGAACGGGUGAGGAAUACAUGGGUAACCUACCCUCGAGUGGGGGAUAACCCGCCGAAAGGCGGGCUAAUACCGCGUACGCUUCCGACCUUGCGGGGUCGGAAGGAAAGCUGUUCCAAGGGGAUGGCGCUCAAGGAUGGGCUCAUGUCCUAUCAGCUUGUUGGUAGGGUAACGGCCACCAAGGCAUCGACGGGUAGCUGGUCUGAGAGGACGAUCAGCCACACUGGCACUGCGACACGGGCCAGACUCCUACGGGAGGCAGCAGUGAGGAAUAUUGCGCAAUGGGCGAAAGCCUGACGCAGCGACGCCGCGGUGGGGGAGUGAAGGUC